CCUUUUUUCUUAAGCUGAGCCAGUUCUACUUUGGGCUACUAAAGGGUUAAAGUUCAAGGGAAAUUAACCAGGACCAUACAGCUCCUGGCUCACAGACUCUGAGCUUUGGGCACUAUAAAAACAGGGAGAAAUCCUUGAGGAGGGUAGACAGUUUCCUAAGUGACAGAAGCAACAACAUUUAUGAAAAAACCUUCAGCGAUUAUGGAUUCAUCUGACCUUCAAAGGAAAAAAAUAGCUGUCAUUGGCGGUGGCUUGGUUGGAUCAUUAAAUGCCUGCUUCCUUGCAAAGAGAAAUUUCCAAGUUGAUGUAUAUGAAGCCAGGGAAGAUAUUCGACUGAGUAAAUUUGCACGUGGAAGAAGCAUCAACUUGGCCCUUUCUUACAGAGGACGACAAGCACUGAAAGCCAUUGGCCUGGAAGAGCAGAUUGUAUCCCAAGGUAUCCCCAUGAGAGCAAGAAUGAUUCAUUCUCUUUCAGGAAAAAAGACUGCAAUUCCCUAUGGGACAAGGUCUCAGUAUAUUCUUUCUAUAAGCAGAGAAGAUCUAAACAAGGAUUUAUUGACUGCUGUUGAGCAAUAUCCAAAUGUGAAGCUGCACUUUGGCCACAGGCUGUUGAAAUGUAGUCCUGAAGAAGGAGUGAUCACAGUGCUUGGAUCUGACAAAGUUCCUAGAGACGUCAGUUGUGACCUCAUUGUAGGAUGUGAUGGAGCCUAUUCAACGGUCAGAAAUCACCUCAUAAAGAAACCCCGCUUUAAUUACAGUCAGCAAUACAUUCCUCAUGGGUACAUGGAGUUGAAGAUUCCACCUAAGAAUGGAGAGUAUGCCAUGGAACCUAAUUAUCUCCAUAUUUGGCCUAGAAAUACCUUUAUGAUGAUUGCACUUCCUAAUACGAACAAAUCUUUCACGUGUACUUUGUUCAUGCCAUUUGAAGAUUUUGAAAAACUCUUAACUGGUAGGGAUGUGCUGGAUUUCUUCCAGAAGUACUUUCCAGAUGCCAUUCCUCUAAUGGGAGAGCAAGCCCUGAUGCAAGAUUUCUUUCUGUUGCCUGCCCAGCCCAUGGUAUCUGUAAAGUGCUCUUCUUUUCACUUGAAUUCACACUGUGUGCUGAUAGGAGAUGCAGCUCAUGCCAUAGUGCCCUUUUUUGGACAAGGAAUGAAUGCGGGCUUUGAAGACUGCUUGGUGCUUGAUGAGCUGAUGGAUAAAUUCAAUAAUGAUCUUAGUGCAUGCCUUCCUGAAUUCUCAAGAUUUAGAACUCCAGAUGCCCAUGCAAUUUCAGACCUAUCCAUCUACAAUUACCUAGAAAUGCGAGCACAUGUCAACUCGUGGUGGUUCAUGCUCCAAAAGAACAUAGAGAGAUUUCUUCAUGCCGUUAUGCCAUCUACCUUUAUCCCUCUCUAUACCAUGGUCACCUUUUCCAGAAUAAGAUACCAUGAAGCAGUGCUGCGGUGGCAUUGGCAGAAAAAGAUUUUCCGUAUGGAGAGGACCCUCUGGCUGCCAUGUGGAAAAUGGAUUGUGAGGAGUAAAACAUCUGUUAUUUGGAAACCCAGUGAAGAAACAGGAUAAUGGUGAUGAAGAACUGAACCAACUCAGUGGCAUGGGGGAAGGAGAGACGAGGAGGUUGGGAAGAGUGAUGGUCACAAGUACCGUGUAACCAGAGUCUGGAAGACAGUCGGAUGGAAGCACUUAUCAAGAAAAGAGAUAUUCUAAAUUCCAAUCCUCAUUCAGCUUUCACACAGAACGAAUGUGGCACUGCAGACAUGUGAGACAGGAAAGGCUAAUGGUCUCCAUAAGAGAGUGGGAAAGGGACUGAGAAUCAUGACUAAUCUAGUUACAAGAUGAGUAAGUUUGUGCUUGGAUGAGGACCCAGAUCUCUGACUACAGUGGAAAGCUUUAUCUGGAUUUUCCCUGGAGUCUCUGAUUGCUUAUCGUCACCAUCAAAGAUAAUGUCUUCUGGAUUUGGAGGUGGGGGGCAGAAUUCUUCACUUGGAAAGAUCUCAUGGAAAAGUGUCUCAGCUUGCUUGACUGCAUGCUCAUUUCCCAGACCACAGUCAGGCCCGGAGCAGAUAUAAACAUUGGAAGGUAAGCCAUUAUAUGAGCUUCUGCUAAUUCCAGAGGAAUCUCUCAUGUUAUAAUAAAGAGCCCACAAAAGUCCUGGCUUUGCAAGUUCUUCCUUAUCUAUUUCUGUUUCAUCAUAUGGAGUGAAUAAUUUCUUCACCACUGAUUCUAAGUCUUCUCUUGCUGUUUUAGAAGAUGGACAAGCCAGAUGUACCAGAUAAGUGUCUUUCAUGCAUGUCAUGGUUGAAGAACAUAACUCAGUGACCCGAACAGCACAACCUCCUGGUUCCACUGGAGGGACUAUCAAAAUGGAAAUCUGCUGAUCUGAAUCUGUCUUUAGUAUAGACUGAUCUGUAAUGAGCACUGCCCUGGAGAUCUGCUUAUACUGCACAUUUGAACAUGUUUCCUCAGAAAGGUAACUAUCCUCCACAAUAAAGUAUUUAGCAUUUAUUCUUUGACCAAAGUGAUCUAUAAUUGUUUUACAUCUUCCAGAAUCUUUGUCGACUACAAGGCAUUGUACUUUAUGGCGGAGACAAUAGAUUCCACCAAAAACUGCGCACAUUCUGCAGAAACACUGGGGAAUUUCUCCUUGGCCGUACAAGGGAAACAAAAAGGGGGUGUUGCCGAACCGUCCCAGACACUGAAGGAAGUUUUUUGUUGCUUUAAGGCCAUCUAAUGUAGUGCAAGAUGACUGUGAUGUCAUCGCAAUUGAGUGCAGUAUAAAAUGUUGGAGGUUGGGGGUUAACUUUUUAGUUUUUAAGUACUCUGAAAAUGAACAUUGCUCGAAAGCUUGAUAUUCAUCAGGAUGUUGUUCAUAGUCUAUACAAAAUGUAAGAAAUUUCAUUAGCAUCCUCUUUUCAACCAUUGUGAGUUCUUUGCUAUUAAAGACAUCUGCUCUGGAACAAGGCACCUGUUCUACUUUUCCUUCCCGAAAUGCAAGAAUCCUAGUAACAUUUUUAAAUUCUGCAUAUCGACUAACAUUUGAUUUGAUUAAAAGAUCAAUUAGCAAUCCUUGAGAAUACAGCAGCUUUGAUACCAAAUCAAUGUUAAACCUUCGGCCUUCUUUAACUAUUUGAGAGUAAGUAAUCCUAUUUCUCUUUAGUUGAUCAGUGUUGUCUUCCACUAUAGGUUUGCUUUCAUCUUUAUCUCCAUGUACAACUGUGUGAGAAAAAGUUUUAUCUCCACAAUCAUUUUCCUUCUCCAGAGUUUCCUCUACAUUAUUUACUUCUAGUGAAGUCUCUUUAUCACUUUCUGGAGUGUCUUUGGCAGGCAUUUCAUUGUUAGUAUUGCAAGAGUGCCUUUCUUUGGGCAAACAUGCAGAAUCCAGAGGUUCACCGAGGGUACUAGAUGCCACAGAGGAAGGAUUUUUCUGCAGAGCACCAAUCUCCUCGACAUUGUCAUCCAAAUCCUGACUGGCAUAACAAAAAACUUCUAUGUGUUGAAUGGUUGCAUCCUUCUUGCGAAGAGUAACAGCUUCUUCGGUUUCAUGGAUUAGGUCUUGCCAUGCAGCUGCUGUUUCUUCUCCAUCAUCACUGUUUUCCUGAUAGUCCUUCAACCAGGACAGCAAUCCUGAAAAGCUGAAACUAGCCCAGUUUCCUCCAUAGUAACCUCUUGAAUCAACGUGCAGAACUCUCUGACCACUCCUUGAACAUGCAGCUGCAAGGAUGGAUUCAGGCAAACCAGUCCCUACUAUAACCACAUCAAACUCUGUGGGGAGAUUGUCCGCCAUCCUGGGAGGUAAAGCACCUGGUGACAACUGCCAAUGAAGGAAACGUUUAUGAAUCUAGGCUGAGGGCUCAGCUGAGGUGCGAGUAUGUCGAAAUAAAAUCUCUCCUUGUGAUGAUUCAGUGUAUUGCAGAAGCAGAGGUUGCAGGUCC